rnacentral:rRNA from 1 species
UGCCAGCCGCCGCGGUAAUACGGAGGGUGCGAGCGUUAAUCGGAAUCACUGGGCGUAAAGCGUACGUAGGUGGCAAAGUCAGUCAGGCGUGAAAGCCCUCGGCUCAACCGAGAAAUUGCGUUUGAUACUACUUUGCUAGAGUCUCGGAGAGGUUGGCGGAAUUCCAGGUGUAGGAGUGAAAUCCGUAGAUAUCUGGAGGAACACCAGUGGCGAAGGCGGCCAACUGGACCGAUACUGACGCUGAGACGCGAAAGCGUGGGGAGCAAACAGGAUUAGAUA